GAUGAACGCUGGCGGCGUGCCUAAUACAUGCAAGUCGAGCGAACAGACGAGGAGCUUGCUCCUCUGACGUUAGCGGCGGACGGGUGAGUAACACGUGGAUAACCUACCUAUAAGACUGGGAUAACUUCGGGAAACCGGAGCUAAUACCGGAUAAUAUAUUGAACCGCAUGGUUCAAUAGUGAAAGACGGUUUUGCUGUCACUUAUAGAUGGAUCCGCGCCGCAUUAGCUAGUUGGUAAGGUAACGGCUUACCAAGGCAACGAUGCGUAGCCGACCUGAGGGGGUGAUCGGCCACACUGGAACUGAGACACGGUCCAGACUCCUACGUGAGGCAGCAGUCGGGAAUCUUCCGCAAUGGGCGAAAGCUUGACGGAGCAACGCCGCGUGAGUGAUGAAGGUCUUCGGAUCGUAAAACUCUGUUAUUAGGGAAGAACAAAUGUGUAAGUAACUAUGCACGUCUUGACGGUACCUAAUCAGAAAGCCACGGCUAACUACGUG
rnacentral:rRNA from 1 species